CCAAGCUACAAAGAGCCAACGGUGAAUGCCUUGGCGCCAAUGACCGAUGAAGGACGUGGGUGACUGCGAAAAGCUACGACGAGCCGUCUACCAGGCUUUGACUCGUAGAUGUCCGAAUGAGGAAACUCGGCACCCGUCAUGGGGUGUCACUCUGGAGUGAAUACAUAGCUCCAGUGGAGGGAACCGGGGGAAUUGAAACAUCUCAGUACCCCGAGGAAAGAAAAGCAAACGCGACUCCCUUAGUAGUGGCGAGCGAAAAGGGAAGAGGCCAAACCGUGUCGGUGCAAUAUCCUGAUGGAGUUGCCGACAUGGGGUUGUGGGACGUUUAGACACAGCAUCAGAUGUGUCACGGAGUUAAAAGUUGCUACGUAGAAGAACGGCUUUGGAAAAGCCGGCCACAGUGGGUAAUAGCCCCGUAUUCGAAACGUACGCAGCCUCCGGAACCAAUCCCAAGUAAUGCCGGGACCGAGCAAACUGGCAUGAAUCUGCGGGGACCACCCCGUAAGCCUAAGUAUCUAUUGGCGACCGAUAGUGAACCAGUACCGUGAGGGAAAGGUGAAAAGAACCCCGGGAGGGGAGUGAAAUAGUACCUGAAACCGUUGGUUUACAAACAGUCAAAGCGUCGUCAUACGCACUUGUGUGUAUGGCCGCGAUGGCGUGCCUUUUGAAGAAUGAGCCUACGAGUUACGGUUAGUGGCGAGGUUAACCCGUGAGGGGUAGCCGGAGCGAAAGCGAGUCUGAACAGGGCGUUCAGUCGCUAGCUGUAGACCCGAAGCCGAGUGAUCUAGCCAUGGGCAGGUUGAAGCGGGGGUAAGACCCCGUGGAGGACCGAACACACGUCAGUUGAAAAUGGCGGUGAUGACCUGUGGUUAGGGGCGAAAGACCAAUCAAACUCGGCGAUAGCUGGUUCUCCUCGAAAUGCAUUUAGGUGCAGCGUCAUGCGUUCAGUACCGGAGGUAGAGCACUGGAUGGGUUAGGGGGCCUACAAGCUUACCGACCCCAGCCAAACUCCGAAUUACGGUACUCCAGAGCAUGGCAGUGAGACCACGGGGGAUGAGCUUCGUUGGUCGAAAGGGAAACAGCCCAGAUCAUCAGCUAAGGCCCCAAAUUCAGGACUAAGUGGAAAACGAUGUGGAUUUGCACAGACAGCCAGGAGGUUGGCUUAGAAGCAGCCAUCCUUAAAAGAGUGCGUAACAGCUCACUGGUCGAGUGAAUCUGCGCGGACAAUUUAACGGGGCUCAAGUCCUGAGCCGAAGCUAUGGAUUUCAACGUUUUACGUUGGAGUGGUAGAGGAGCGUUGAUGAAGCACUGAAGCGGCGGGAUAACCCGACGUGGAGUUUCAUCAAGUGAGAAUGUAGGCAUGAGUAGCGAGAGAGGAGUGAGAAACUCCUCCGCCGUAAGCCCAAGGGUUCCUGGGGAAGGCUAAUCCUCCCAGGGUAAGUCGGGAGCUAAGACGAGGCCGCGAGGCGUAGUCGAUGCACAACUGGUUGAUAUUCCAGUACCGCCAUAUACGCGCAAAGCUCAAUUUCGGUGAAGCAGGGGCUGCCUUCGGGCGAUCCUGACUAGCUGGAUGCGGGUAACUGAAGGGGGACACAGAAGGAUAGGUGAACCGGGGCGAUGGUUGUCCCCGGGUAAGUGUGUAGGAGGACUGCGAUGAGAAUUGCGGUCGUAACUCUGAGACACGAUGCCGAGCGGGUUUCCGCGAAGUCACUAAUUCCAUGCUGUCGAGAAAAGCCCAGCAGUGAGUUUGUAUGGCGCCCGUACCCCAAACCGACGCAGGUGGGCGGGUAGAGAAUACCGAGGCGAUCGGGAGAACUAUGGUUAAGGAACUCGGCAAAAUGCCUCCGUAACUUCGGAAGAAGGAGGACCCACGUAGGGUGAAGAGACUUCGCGUCUCCAGCCUGAAUGGGUGGCACAGAGCAGGGGGUAGCGACUGUUUAACAAAAACACAGCAGCGUGCGAAGCCG
rnacentral:rRNA from 1 species